rnacentral:rRNA from 1 species
AGAGAGAGACAUGCGCGCAUAUCAAUAAGCGGAGGAAAAGAAACUAACAAGGAUUCCCCUAGUAACGGCGAGUGAAGCGGGAAGAGCCCAAAUUUGAAAUCUUAAAGGGUUUCCCUUUACGAAUUGUAGUUUAAAGAAGUGUUUUCUGUUGAGGUUUUGGUAAAAGUUCUUUGGAAUAGGACAUCAUAGAGGGUGAGAAUCCCGUAUUUGACCUUUACUUUCAACUUUGUGAUACACUUUCAAAGAGUCGGAUUGUUUGGGAAUGCAGUCCAAAAUGGGUGGUAAAUUUCAUCUAAAGCUAAAUAUUGGCGAGAGACCGAUAGCGAACAAGUACCGUGAGGGAAAGAUGAAAAGAACUUUGAAAAGAGAGUUAAACAGUACGUGAAAUUGUCAAAAGGGAAGCGUUUGACACCAGUGUUGUUUUUCUGAAAAUCAAUUAAAGAACUGUUUAUGCUAAGCUGUUUAGACUUUAUCAGCUAUCUGUUUAGUUUUGAGCUUUUCUUUAAUGCACUUUUCAGUUAACAAGUCAACAUCAAUUUCUUUUGCUGUAAAAAAGCUUGAGGAAGGUGGCUUGAGAUUCGUCUUAAGUGUUUAUAGCCUCUUGCCUAUGCAGUCGGAGAGAUUGAGGUCUGCAGCGUAGAUCCUUCGGGGCUAAAUGCAUUUGUGCUAAGUUAUAGCACUUUAUAGACAACUUGUUGACUAUGAUUUGUCUUGUAGCUUACUCGCUUAUGUUAUUUUACCUACGCUUAGGAUGUUGAGCGCAUGUCUCUCUCU